rnacentral:rRNA from 1 species
CCAGACUCCUACGGGAGGCAGCAGUGGGGAAUAUUGCACAAUGGGGGGAACCCUGAUGCAGCGACGCCGCGUGGGUGAGGAAGUACUUCGGUAUGUAAAGCCCUAUCAGCAGGGAAGAAAAUGACGGUACCUGACUAAGAAGCCCCGGCUAACUACGUGCCAGCAGCCGCGGUAAUACGUAGGGGGCAAGCGUUAUCCGGAUUUACUGGGUGUAAAGGGAGCGUAGACGGCGUGCCAAGUCUGGUGUGAAAGGCCGGGGCUCAACCCCGGGACUGCAUUGGAAACUGGCAUGCUGGAGUGCCGGAGGGGCAAGCGGAAUUCCUAGUGUAGCGGUGAAAUGCGUAGAUAUUAGGAGGAACACCGGUGGCGAAGGCGGCUUGCUGGACGGUAACUGACGUUGAGGCUCGAAAGCGUGGGGAGCAAACAGGAUUAGAUACCCCAGUA